rnacentral:sRNA from 1 species
GGACGGGACAGGUGUCCCUUCCUUCCUCUCUGCUCCCUGUGUCCCUCCUGAAGCUGCACGCUCCGUUAAAGAGGAUGACCUUCCCCAACAGGAGGACCGUCCUUUGGUCAAGGGUCUAUGCGCAGCUGCGCUCCCCUGCCAGAAUCCCCUAACCAGAACCAUCAGGGACAGUUUUCUUAGCUGCUGGACCAUCAGGUCUUUCGAACAUGAAAUAAAGCACGUGUUCUAAU